rnacentral:lncRNA from 15 species
ACAACAACAACUGAUAAUGCUUCAACAGAACUAAAAGUUUGGUGGCAGUGGUUCAUCAUUGUGUUUGUGAGUCUUGCAGCACUCUUAAUAAUUAUUGUUGCUGUCAUCAGAUGGAAGAGAACUAAAGGUGUGAGCAACCACAGAUUAAACUUUUAUGAACAAGAAGUUUUGAUGAACCAGGAUUUUUAUUGUGGAAACUAAAGUCGACUCUCUUUUGUCUCUUCAGGAAAAAAAUCACAGACGGAUAAAAACAAUGUACAGAGCUUAAACCCUGCAGUGAAUCCAGAAACCAGUCAGGACACG